AUUGAACGCUGGCGGCAGGCCUAACACAUGCAAGUCGAGCGGAUGAAGGGAGCUUGCUCCUGGAUUCAGCGGCGGACGGGUGAGUAAUGCCUAGGAAUCUGCCUGGUAGUGGGGGAUAACGUCCGGAAACGGGCGCUAAUACCGCAUACGUCCUGAGGGAGAAAGUGGGGGAUCUUCGGACCUCACGCUAUCAGAUGAGCCUAGGUCGGAUUAGCUAGUUGGUGGGGUAAAGGCCUACCAAGGCGACGAUCCGUAACUGGUCUGAGAGGAUGAUCAGUCAACCUGGAACUAGGAAACGGUCCGGAUCCCAACGGGAGCCAGCGGUGGGGAAUAUGGGACAAGGGCGAAAGCCUGAUCCAGCCAUGCCGCGUGUGUGAAGAAGGUCUUCGGAUUGUAAAGCACUUUAAGUUGGGAGGAAGGGCAGUAAGUUAAUACCUUGCUGUUUUGACGUUACCAACAGAAUAAGCACCGGCUAACUUCGUG
rnacentral:rRNA from 1 species